UUUAUUAACAUUCUAUAGGUAUGACAGGCAGAACAAGUAAAUUGUAGUCAUGUAUAUUUACCGAAAUAGUUAAGUACAUCAGAAUCAGCAUAUUGGUAUAAAUUAUAUGCGACAAGUACGCCAAUCAAGCAAUGUGCGUAAUAGCAAUGUAUAUUUUCAAAAACGAUUCAGAAAAUCCCAACUUGAAAGUAUACCUAAGAAGCUCCUUAUGAGACAAUUGUCUUCUCAGAUAAGCUAGGUAGCAAAAUGGGUCACAUGUUAAAUGACUAUCUUAAACAAAAAGUCAUUAAUAUAUGUAUGCCAGGGGCUUCUUAUAACCAAAUUGUAGAUAGAAUUUUGUCAGGACAAUACAGUGCAAACACUACAUUAGUAUUGUUAAUUGGAAACAGCUUAGAUGUGACAGAAAAUGACUUAAUAAGAUGCUAUGACGCCCUUUCUACCAUGGAAAUCAAGAAAACGAUAAUCUGUGCUUUUCCCUAUUCCGCUUCACGGUCUCAUAAGCAGAACACUCAGAUACAUGAGUUAAAUAUGUUGAUAUUUAACAUGACAUUUGGUCAUAGGGAACAGAUGAUGUAUUUCGAUACAAAUAAAUUUAUUCACAAUUUUAUUUUGACCAAGAGUACAUUAUUUGUACCUAAGUUUUAUAAGCGACAGAUAGCUAAAUUGUUAGCUUACAAUAUUUAUGACCCUGUUAUAAGUAGUAUAACAGAAGUAGGACCAACUGAUACGAUAGUUAGUAGUAAUACUAAUGUAAAUUUAAACUGCCAUGCACGACAAGAGAUGAGCAACUGAGAGUUGUACACCAGAAUAUUCAGGGGCUUUCUCGCAAACUUCUAAUGCUAGAGUUAUUUUUAGAACAAUACGACAUAGACAUAAUUUGUAUUACUGAGCAUCACCUUAAAAAUGAUGACAUGAAUUUUAAUGUAAAAAAUUACAAUGUUAUUAGCUCAUUUAAUAGGAAAACGUUAGACAAAGGAGGAUCAUUAAUAUUUGUAAAGAAAAAUUUAAAAUGUAAGGAUAGGAAAGAUAUUGUAAAAUUAUCGGUCGAAAGAAUAGCUGAACUAGCUUGUGUUGAGAUGGACAAGUAUAUAAUUUUAAGCGUGUACAGGCCCCCCUCUUCUGACUAUAAAGUAUUUGAGAAAGUGAUGGAGGAUAGUC